GAUGAACGCUGGCGGCGUGCCUAAUACAUGCAAGUCGAACGAGUGGCGGACGGGGGAGUAGUGUCUGGGAAACUGCCUGAGGGAGGGGGAUAACUACUGGAAACGGUAGCUAAUACCACAUACCAUCGGAGGUGCCCAGAUGGGAUUAGCUAGUAGGUGGGGUAACGGCUUACAUAGGCGACGAUCCCUAGCGGGUCUGAGAGGAUGACCAGCCACACUGGAACUGAGACACGGUCCAGACUCCUACUGGAGGCAGCAGUGGGGAAUAUUGCACAAUGGGCGCAAGCCUGAUGCAGCCAUGCCGCGUGGAUGAAGAAGGCCUUCGGGUUGUAAAGUACUGUCAUCGGGGAGGCGUUACUCGCAGAAGAAGCACCGGCUAACUCCGUGCCAGCAGCCGCGGUAAUAC
rnacentral:rRNA from 1 species